rnacentral:rRNA from 1 species
AGAGCGAACGCUGGCGGCAGGCCUAACACAUGCAAGUCGAACGGACCCUUCGGGGUUAGUGGCGGACGGGUGAGUAACACGUGGGAACGUGCCUUUUGGUUCGGAAUAGCUCCUGGAAACGGGUGGUAAUGCCGAAUGUGCCCUUCGGGGGAAAGAUUUAUCGCCAUUAGAGCGGCCCGCGUCUGAUUAGCUAGUUGGUGAGGUAAAGGCUCACCAAGGCUACGAUCAGUAGCUGGUCUGAGAGGAUGACCAGCCCACAUUGGGACUGAGACACGGCCCAAACUCCUACGGGAGGCAGCAGUAGGGAAUAUUGGACAAUGGGCGCAAGCUGAUCCAGCAAUCGCGCGUUGAGUGAAUGAAGGUCCUUAGGGUUGUAAAGCUCUUUACCCGAGAUAGGAUAAGUGACAGUUAGUCGGGAAG